AGGAAGUAAAAGUCGUAACAAGGUUUCCGUAGGUGAACCUGCGGAAGGAUCAUUAUCGAACAAGAAGGGGGAAAGACUGUCGCUGGCGAAAGCAUGUGCACGUCCAACCUUUUCUAUUACACACCCGUGCACCUUUUGUAGGUCCUCGAAAGAGGAUCUAUGUAUUUCAUCAUCACACCUAUCGUAUGUCUAGAAUGUCAUCGUCGACCACUGGGCGGCGAAAUAAAUAAUACAACUUUCAGCAACGGAUCUCUUGGCUCUCGCAUCGAUGAAGAACGCAGCGAAUUGCGAUAAGUAAUGUGAAUUGCAGAUUUUCAGUGAAUCAUCGAAUCUUUGAACGCACCUUGCGCUCCUUGGUAUUCCGAGGAGCAUGCCUGUUUGAGUGUCAUUAAAUUCUCAACCAUGACUUUGUUGACAUGGCUUGGAGUUGGGGGUUGCUGGCUUGUUUGUCAGCUCUCCUGAAAUACAUUAGCGGUGGACAAGCAAGGCCUUCCGACGUGAUAAUGAUCGUCGUGGGGCGGAGCAUCAACGUCUGUCUGCUUCUAAAUCCCAGAUGCCUUAGCUAGACAUCAUUUCGAACGCUGACCUC
rnacentral:rRNA from 1 species